rnacentral:lncRNA from 1 species
UGACGCCGUGAGAGGAUCCGCUUGGCGGUGGUUAUUCCUCUCCCUCAUCGACCGUGGGAGGCGUCUCAGUUGGGGCAGUGAUUCCUUCCGUUUGAAGAUGAGAUGAUGUGGGAGCCCAACUGACGUUGUCAUUUUCUUCUUCCCCAAUUCCCUCCCGUCGAAUGCUGUUGCCAUCCCAUCGCCUCCAUUCCAGCCCCGCGCGCCUUCCUUCCCGGAUUUUCCUGCACCAGUUCCCGUCGUCUCGGCCGGUUGGGCAAGGUGACACGCUUUCCCUGCUGGCCGUUCCCUUCCUCCUCUUCUGUCCCUAUCUCUAUCUCUGUUGCGAGGUCCUUUUUUUCCGAUUUCCGUAUUCCAAUUGUCGUCUGAUAUGGCUUGUAAUAACUCUGUGGUGAUGACUAUUGGCUGGGGGUUUCCGUGAUUUAACGCAAGACAAGGGACUGAGAUAUGGCUUGCUGGUCUUCUUCCUGUUGCGGCUUCUCUCUUUCGAACCGUAGGAAAAAUGGGUUUAUCCCCGUUCUAUAGGAAAACAUGCUAUCUGUGUGGUGAGUACUUGUGUGCUUUAUGUUUUUUCCGUGAGGGUCAUCUGUCCCCUCCUUCUGACGAGCAUCGUGAAUCAUACUGUAAUAUGUUUUUCGUAUUCAUCUGUCUUUUGUUUUUGUUGUUCCGGUGCGACUGGCCUGAUUUCCUUCGGCUUUAUAUGCUUGGGCGGCGGAUUGUUCGAUGCGAAUUAUUGAAUAUUUUUCUUUUCCCUCGUUUGCUUUAUCCAAUUCGAUUAUAUGUGUUCUUUCAAUCGGACGCAAACAGCGAUGACUGUUUUCUUGGGGUUCAUGUGGGAAGACACUGCUGGAUGUCGUCCCCAAAUUUCAUUUUACUUUUUAGACUUGGAAAAUCCAAGCUCGUUGUCGGACCAUCAUGGAGAAAUCGAGGCUUGGAUAGGGAUGAUGCUGAUUAUUCUCUUGAUAACCUAUAUAGUAGCGCUGUAGAGAAGCGACUGCUCUGCAGGACAUGUAAUUGAACUUUCAGAGUCUUUCUUAUCCAUCAUAGAGUUAUGGACUGAGGCAAGGGAGAGCUCAUGCUAAUUCAUGAGGGGUCAAGCUGUUUGAUAGUUCCAUGCUGUAGUGGCCUCUAUCAAGGAUUAUAAUUUCCAUGGUUGGAGCCUCUGUUCGCUAUUAAUUUUUUAUUGUCAAUUAGGUGAAAGCUUCUGGGAUUAUACUUGCACUGGAGAGUUUGCUGGUCCUCAUGGGGUUAUAUCUCAUAAUGGCAUUCUGGGUUGCCUUGAUUGAAAUAUGCAAACUCAUGUGCAUUCAUUUCUCGUGAUUCUAUUUGUGUCAUUCUACCAAUUUCAUUAUUUUUGAUAGUGGGUUGGGUGAUUCACAAUUAUUUUCAAAAAACUUGCCUUUAAAUGAGAAGUUUUCAGGUUUUUGUGUUGGUGGUGAGAUAUGAUCAUGGAGAUGAAAAAGGCAAGAAGCUGGUUUUAUGUUCAUGGUCGAACAUAGGGAAGCAUGAAACGAGAUAGCUUCGGAUGGUUGCAACGGCAUUUGCUUUGGAUUUUUUUUAUAAAUUUAAUUUCUUACGUCUUCUUCAUGGUCGGUCACCUCUACGAUUUAUCAUCAUCAUAUUCAUUCUUUUCAAAAAAGGGAAAGCAUCGAAAUCUCAUGGAAGUUUAUAAGGUCUUCAUGAGAGAUGAAUUUACUAACUCGUUUUCCUUUUUAGACACUUCAACUGGCCAAAAAAAAACUCGCUCAUUAUGAUUCCAGUGGUAGUAGAUGUUUUUUCUUGUGAUGGAAGAGGAUCAUGGAUGAAUAAUCUGCAGGAUUCCCGAUUGACCCAAAAAUGGCAUAAAUUUGACCCAAAUCUGAUGGGGAUGCAUGCUUCUUUGAGAUUAGGGAGGAGAUAUUUCUUGUGGAUGCUUCCGGUGGAUAUCCCAGUUUCUUCAAUAAGAAAUAGCCCUUCCUGUGCUGGACCUUGUCAUAUCCGACGCAAUGAUCCAACAUGAUUUUGACCUGAAUUUGGCUUCUCUGGCUAAUCCAGAUAUCUUGGAUGGAAACUUGGUCAACUCGGUUGACUUUGACAUUACCUAUCUGGUUUCUCAUCCACCUCCACGGCAUGAGAACUUCCAUCCUCGUAUAUUCUGCAGAGUGCUUCAUUUCAUCUAUACCAUUGUUGCAAAUUCAUUGACAUCGCUUCAGGCUGGAGACCAUAAUGCAGGCCUCUGAGUAUUCAACCAUGGCGAUCAAAUCGUAUAGCUAUGAGGCCGAGGCGCUUGUGAAAGAGUACCUGCUUGCCGAGUCAUUCGUGCCGUACAUUUCC